GAUCAGUGACAGGCAGCCCUAAGGUGGGAGAUUUUCUUCCAACUGUGCGGUGGACCGAACUUUACCCGGCGAUGUCGUGCCCUUUCAGAAUCUGGUUGCGGAGCCUUCCGGCCAGGAUGGACCCAUUGCAGCUAGCAGCUCUUAUCAUCUCUCCAGUUCCAUUCUGAAACUCCACAAAGAGAUUGACAUGAGGGUGACUUCUAAUAGUGGUUAAACAAGAACAGUUUUUGCCUGUGCCUAAUAAUUCCCAAGCGGGUUGUGCAAGUUAAGCCUGCAAAGACAACUAGUAAAGCACAACAAAUUACAACUUCACCUGUUGCACUAAUGCAGAUCAUCAUUGCAAACGUGCAGCAGUUUUGAGGAUUGUGUUACACAACAGAACAAUACGAGUGAACAACACACCACGCUAUGCAAGUCCCGGCGAUGGCUGCCAGACCGAAAACUCUGCAUCGAUCACACUUUGGCUCUUUUAAAAAUGAACCAACAAAGAAAAGAAAGUGGUGCUGAUGGAACUGGUGUGUCUCAGUUUGGCGGUGACCGACUGUCCAGUUGAAGACUGAUGAUGAUUAGAAGGUCUUUGCUAACUAGACUGAAACUGGAAAACACAGGACAGCUGGAAUAUCUUGUGUUUCAAGGAACUGCGCAGAAUCUUUGUGAUGAGCCAUUUCAUCUUCAUCAUAGCAGAAAGGAAAGAGAGAGCAAUUAUAACUUUGUGGAUUUCUAUGUUGAUAUAAAUUUGGAGCUGUACCAAACAUUCGGAGUCAAAUUCCCAUCCAGUUACAAUCUGACUGAUUGAAAAGGUUUGACUCUAGUACAGCAUAUUUUUAUUUUGAUGUGAUAAGUUUGUAGUUGAGGUCCCAUUGGCUUUAAGUUAUAGGUAAAACAGAUAAACUGAUCUCUGUAGCAUUAGCAAAUCUCAUCACCUUGAAAUAAGAGGCAACCUCAGAACAACUUGCUGCACUACAGGUGAAACAAGCAGUAUAAUGCUUUGAAUUCUAUGCUUUUCACUCUAGGCAUACUGAUAUCAUUUUAGAUUGUUUUAGCUGAGGGAGGGACAGACUUCAGGCUUUCGGGAUCUACAUGGUGGGGCCAUUCACACAACCAGGUGGUGUUGGCUUGUCCAACUCACUUUCCUCCCAGAUGAUUGCUGAAUGUUGCUGGGAGUGUGGCCUGCUCUCCCAGAUGGUCCUUGCUGCAUGGUGCAGUGCAGAGCUCCAGAGGCCAGGACAACAUGUCAAGGCCUCAGGAUAUCCCACAAUGCAUAGUGUGACAUACUCAGUGCAUUGGGAGAUUCCCCCAGGAGAUGGGCACUCAAGGCACCCAUCUCUGUGUCCACUGGGUCUGAACGCAGCCCCCGCGGACACACAGUCCAAGAGCCCGGGUUAAGGGCUCGAUUAAGCCUCUAACCCCGGCUAAAAGCUGGAUUAAAAGGCUGGGCUAGGCAGUACUGUCUUGCCAGGAGCAGGCCCAAUCCUGGUGGUUCUCAAAUGCAGCAUAACCCAGUAUGGGCUUCUCUAGCCUGGGUUAAGGUGUGCAUGGGGACAGCCUCAGUGUCUUGCUAGAACUCUAAAGUCUAUCACACCAACUAGAGCCUAGUGUAAAAUAAGGGUUCAGCAGGGCAUGGAGGUGUUGUGGAUACCCAGAGAAUUAAGGAGUGUUGUGCCUCG